GGGCCCGUAGCUCAGCACGGACAGUAGCGUCGGCCCUCUAACCAAAGAGGAUAGCCGAAGGUCGAGGGUUCAAAUCCCUCCGGGCCCG
rfam:Archaeon 13_1_40CM_2_52_13 13_1_40cm_2_scaffold_537, whole genome shotgun sequence.